UCAAGAAACUUCCACAAUGGGCGAAAGCCUGAUGGAGCGACGUCGCGUGAUGGACGAAGUGCUUCGGCACGUAAACAUCUUUUAUGUGGGAUGAAAUUAUUGACAGUACCACAUGAAUAAGGGGCUCCUAACUCUGUGCCAGCAGGAGCGGUAAUACAGAGGCCCCAAGCGUUAUCCGGAAUCACUGGGCGUAAAGGGUGUCGAGGCGGUUGUAUUAGUCGUUCGUAAAAUCUACGAGCUUAACUUGUAGGCGGCGAACGAAACGGUACGACUUGAGGUUUGGAGAGGUGCGUGGAACUCACGGUGUAGGGGUGAAAUCCGUUGAUAUCGUGGGGAACACCAAAGGCGAAGGCAGCGCACUGGCCAAAAUCUGACGCUCACACGCGAAAGCUAGGGUAGCGAAGAGGAUUAGAUACCCCCGUAGUCCCUGAGCGGGCUGGCAAGGCGCAU
rnacentral:rRNA from 1 species